ACUGAACGCUGGCGGCAGGCCUAACACAAGCAAGUCGAACGAGUGGCGGACGGGUGAGUAAUGUCUGGGAAACCGCCUGAUGGAGGGGGAUAACUCCUGGAAACGGUAGCUCAUACCGCAUACCAACGGAUGUGCCCAGAUGGGCUUAGCUAGUAGGUGGGGGAAAGGCUCACCUAGGCGAAGAUCCCUAGCUGGUCUGAGAGGAUGACCAGCCACACUUGAACUAAGACACGGUCCAGACUCCUACGGGAGGCAGCAGUGGGGAAUAUUGCACAAUGGGCGCAAGCCUGAUGCAGCCAUGCCGCGUGUAUGAAGAAGGCCUUCGGGUUGUAAAGUACUUUCAGCGGGGAGGCGUUACCCGCAGAAGAAGCACCGGCUAACUCCGUGCCAGCCGCCGCGGUAAUUC
rnacentral:rRNA from 1 species